rnacentral:rRNA from 1 species
GACGAACGCUGGCGGCGCGCCUAACACAUGCAAGUCGAACGGAGCUGAGAGGAGCUUGCUUUUCUUAGCUUAGUGGCGAACGGGUGAGUAACGCGUGAGUAACCUGCCCUGGAGUGGGGGACAACAGUUGGAAACGACUGCUAAUACCGCAUAAGCCCACGAUCCGGCAUCGGAUUGAGGGAAAAGGAUUUAUUCGCUUCAGGAUGGACUCGCGUCCAAUUAGCUAGUUGGUGAGGUAACGGCCCACCAAGGCGACGAUUGGUAGCCGGACUGAGAGGUUGAACGGCCACAUUGGGACUGAGGCACGGCCCAGACUCCUACGGGAGGCAGCAGUGGGGGAUAUUGCACAAUGGGGGAAACCCUGAUGCAGCGACGCCGCGUGGAGGAAGAAGGUUUUCGGAUUGUAAACUCCUGUCGUUAGGGACGAUAAUGACGGUACCUAACAAGAAAGCACCGGCU